GUUCUCAGAGUUUGAGUAUUGACUACAUCAAGAAGGAAUAUAUAUUCAACAAAAAAAAGAAAUACAUAAUUACAAAGAAAACGAAAAAAGAAAAGUUGAAAAUAAUUAGAUUAAAAAGUGUGGUAAACAAAUUAUGGGGAAAAAGCAGUGUGUGCAAAAUACAAUAUACACAUAAAUGAGCGAGAUAGAGAGCGAGAGCGAAAGAGAGAGGGUGCGAGCCUGCGAAUGAAUGAGAAAGAGCGAACGAGCGAGCGAAAGAGAGACAGAAAGAUCUAUCUACUUUAUUCAAGUGUAAUUUAAAUGAAAAGCACUGAAGAGGAGUUCGACGACCUGUCAACUCUGUCUCUAUUGCCAACUCACUCGAUGUCAUGCAGUGAAUGCAUCCAGCAUACAUGAUGAUUAACGAAUAUGAACAGCAGCAACAACAACAACAACAACACAACUACAGGGCAGAUGCACUCAGAAUACAAUGGCUUCAUGAAACUUGCUUAAUGUGCCUUUACAAUGUGCUUCAUUUCAGUAUGCGAGCAAAUUAAUAUGAAGUUGACAUUUUGAUUACUUUCGUUUUUAUAUUCAUCAACUAUUUGACAACUAAAAUAAAUCAAUCAAUAAUCGCAAAUAAUUUAGCUCUGUUCAAAUUGCUUCAAAAAAGGCGGAAACUUUCAUGGCUGAUUUUAUUGAGCACUGACUAUGUUUGCCUAUGAAAGGUAAUUCAUUAAUUGCUCGUCAUAGCAACCUACACAACAUAAACUGGCAAGAAAAUUUAAUUAAAAACUGCUUCGUGGCUUAAUUUAAUGGAAAUUAUAGCAAAUCAUCGUCAAGUGUCGUCAACUUAAUAAUAUUGACAAAUUAAGCAAGAAAAGCAAUUCAAAUUCAAAUUCAAUUGUUGUGGUCAUCAAUUUGUAGCAUUCUAAUCGAAACUUUUGAUUUGUCUACUAUUUAAAGAAAUCGAUAUGUAAAUGUCUGAAAUGUCAGGUCAAAAUUUUUGCUUGCCAGAAGAGAAGCGGAACGAGGAAGGAUUUGGCUGCAACAAUCAAAUUACAGUAAGGCAAUUUACACACAAUGACAACAUGGACACAGAGCAAUUGAGCAGCAAGUUUUGUGGGCGGAAGCGGAGGCGAGGCGAAGGCAGAGGAACUACUAUUAAUUAGACGAGAGAGAGAGAGAGAGAGGGAGAGACAAACAGAAAGUACUUACAGCCUGAGCACAAAAAAUACGAAAUUUGAAAUUGGAAAAUGUGGCAAAAAUGUAAGCAGAGGAGAGAGAGAAAGGAGAGGAGAUGUGUGUUGAUGCAUUUGUUGGACAAUCAACAAAAAAAAUUAUUCACAACAGUCUGCGAGUAAAUAUACAGCACGAAUCCAAUGAAACAAACGAGCCGAUUAACAAUUAGGCAAAAAGCUUUAACCCAAACAACAAACUUAACACAACUUUUUUACCGCGUGCAUGCAAAUUGAAAUUCGAAUUCAAUCCAAAAAUAAUUCAAAUUCAAAAUACUGUGAAACUCAAAAUCAAAUCAAAUCAACUUUAAAACCAAACUAAGCAAAUCAAAACGAAACAACAAAGUGGGCCUUAGUAAUACACCUACGAAUAGUAGAUAAAAAAGGAAGCGUGUUUAUUUUUGUCAAAGCAUCGCAAUAAGUAAACUCAAACUCAAUUGAAAUUAAAUUAUAUGUGUGUAUUUGUAUAUAUAGUCAGCUAUACA